UCCUACCGGGAGGCAGCAGGUGGGGAAUAUUGGACAAUGGGCGAAAGCCUGAUCCAGCCAUGCCGCGUGUGUGAAGAAGGUCUUCGGAUUGUAAAGCACUUUAAGUUGGGAGGAAGGGCAGUAAGUUAAUACCUUGCUGUUUGACGUACCGACAGAAAGCCGUUUCCCC
rnacentral:rRNA from 1 species